AGGCGCGCAAAUUACCCACUCCCGGCACGGGGAGGUAGUGACGAAAAAUAACGAUACGGGACUCAUCCGAGGCCCCGUAAUCGGAAUGAGUACACUCUAAACCCUUUAACGAGGAUCAAUUGGAGGGCAAGUCUGGUGCCAGCAGCCGCGGUAAUUCCAGCUCCAAUAGCGUAUAUUAAAGUUGUUGCGGUUAAAAAGCUCGUAGUCGAAUCUGUGUCCCGCGCCGCCGGUUCAUCGCUCGCGGUGUUUAACUGGCGUGUCCGCGGGACGUCCUGCCGGUGGGCUUAGCUCUUCGCGGGGCGGCCCAACUUCAAAUCCCACCGCGGUGCUCUUCACUGAGUGUCGAGGUGGGCCGGCACGUUUACUUUGAACAAAUUAGAGUGCUUAAAGCAGGCUAAAACUUCGCCUGAAUACUGUGUGCAUGGAAUAAUGGAAUAGGACCUCGGUUCUAUNUUGUUGGUUUUCGGAACCCCGAGGUAAUGAUUAAUAGAAACGGAUGGGGGCAUUCGUAUUGCGACGUUAGAGGUGAAAUUCUUGGAUCGUCGCAAGACGGACAGAAGCGAAAGCAUUUGCCAAAAACGCUUUCAUUGAUCAAGAACGAAAGUUAGAGGUUCGAAGGCGAUCAGAUACCGCCCUAGUUCUAACCAUAAACGAUGCCAGCUAGCGAUCCGCCGACGUUCCUCCGAUGACUCGGCGGGCAGCUUCCGGGAAACCAAAGCUUUUGGGUUCCGGGGGAAGUAUGGUUGCAAAGCUGAAACUUAAAGGAAUUGACGGAAGGGCACCACCAGGAGUGGAGCCUGCGGCUUAAUUUGACUCAACACGGGAAACCUCACCAGGCCCGGACACCGGAAGGAUUGACAGAUUGAGAGCUCUUUCUUGAUUCGGUGGGUGGUGGUGCAUGGCCGUUCUUAGUUGGUGGAGCGAUUUGUCUGGUUAAUUCCGAUAACGAACGAGACUCUAGCCUGCUAACUAGGCGUAUUUUCGACAUCUCAAAGGCCCGCCGGCCCGGCGCUCUUGUGUCGCGGUCGCGCGCGGUUUUUACUGUCGGCGUACAAUCAAUUCUUCUUAGAGGGACAGGCGGCUUCUAGCCGCACGAGAUUGAGCAAUAACAGGUCUGUGAUGCCCUUAGAUGUUCUGGGCCGCACGCGCGCUACACUGAAGGAAUCAGCGUGUCCUCCCUGGCCGAGAGGCCCGGGUAACCCGCUGAACCUCCUUCGUGCUAGGGAUUGGGGCUUGCAAUUGUUCCCCAUGAACGAGGAAUUCCCAGUAAGCGCGAGUCAUAAGCUCGCGUUGAUUACGUCCCUGCCCUUUGUACACACCGCCCGUCGCUACUACCGAUUGAAUGAUUUAGUGAGGUCUUCGGACCGGUACGCGGUGGCGCACCCGCGUCGCCGAUGUUGCUGGGAAGAUGACCAA
rnacentral:rRNA from 1 species